rnacentral:ncRNA from 1 species
AUAAAGGCAAUGAAUAGACAAGUAAUAAUAGCCCUUCAUUCAAAGAGAGUCUUGGUUGGUGGAAAAGAUAAUGAAACUAUUAUGAAUAAAGACUAGGAGCUGCAUCUUGGAUGUUUUGAUAAGAUGACGUAAGCCACGUUAUAGGCAAGACUAUUAAUAGAUAGUUAUUGAGGUUAAUAGGGUGACCUAUUAAUGAAUUUGGGUGGUAACACGAUUUAGCUCUCGUCCCAUGG